rnacentral:rRNA from 1 species
AAUGAACGCUGGCGGCGUGGUUAAGACAUGCAAGUCGAACGGUUUUUCAGGUGUAGCAAUACACUUGAAAAGCAGUGGCGAACGGGUGCGUAACACGUGAACAAUCUACCUUUUAGUGUGGAAUAGCUCGGCGAAAGCCGGAUUAAUACCGCAUGUGGUUGCUGCUCGCAUGAGCGGCAUACUAAAGUCAGGGACCGCAAGGCCUGACGCUAUUAGAGGAGUUCGCGGCCUAUCAGCUAGUUGGCGAGGGAACGGCUCACAAAGGCUAAGACGGGGAGGUGAUCGGAUGGGAUGAUCGGCCAGACUGGAACUGAGACACGGCACAGACCCCUACGGGUGGCAGCAGUUUCGAAUGAUUAACAAUGGGCGAAAGCCUGAUGGUGCGACGCCGCGUGAGGGAUGAAGGUCUUCGGAUUGUAAACCUCUGUCACCGGGGAAGAAACGCUUCAAGUUAACAGCUUGAAGCCUGACUUAACCCGGAGAGGAAGCAGUGGCUAACUCUGUGCCAGCCGCCGCCGUAA